ACUUUGUUUUGCAGUGGAAAUCCUUUUUUGCUUGGACUUAGAGAACCUCAGUCUGACAAAAUGUGUAGCAAAAAAGAUUGCAACACUUCGACUCGGC
rnacentral:misc_RNA from 1 species